rnacentral:rRNA from 1 species
AUUGAACGCUGGCGGCAUGCUUUACACAUGCAAGUCGAACGGUAACAGGCCUUCGGGUGCUGACGAGUGGCGAACGGGUGAGUAAUGCAUCGGAACGUACCCAGAGGUGGGGGAUAACGCAGCGAAAGCUGUGCUAAUACCGCAUGUGAUCUGAGGAUGAAAGCGGGGGACCGAGCAGCAAUGUUUGGCCUCGCGCCUUUGGAGCGGCCGAUGUCGGAUUAGCUAGUUGGUGGGGUAAAGGCCUACCAAGGCGACGAUCCGUAGCUGGUCUGAGAGGACGACCAGCCACACUGGAACUGAGACACGGCCCAGACUCCUACGGGAGGCAGCAGUGGGGAAUUUUGGACAAUGGGCGCAAGCCUGAUCCAGCAAUGCCGCGUGCGUGAAGAAGGCCUUCGGGUUGUAAACCGCUUUUGGCAGGAACGAAACGGUGUCCGCUAAUACCGGGCGCUAAUGACGGUACCUGCAGAAUAAGCACCGGCUAACUACGUG